rnacentral:pre_miRNA from 1 species
CUUAUACUCCCUCCGUCCCAAAAUUCUUGUUUUAAAUUUAUUUAGAUAUGAAUGUAUCUAGUCAACUUUUAGUAUUUAGAUACAUCCAUUUCUAGAUAAAGCUAAGACAAGAAUUAUGGGACGGAGGGAGUAUUUA